rnacentral:rRNA from 1 species
CCUACGGGGGGCAGCAGUGAGGAAUAUUGGUCAAUGGGCUUACGCCUGAACCAGCCAAGUCGCGUGAGGGAAGACUGCCCUAUGGGUUGUAAACCUCUUUUGUCAGGGAGCAACGCCGGCUACGUGUAGCCGGACUGAGAGUACCUGAAGAAAAAGCAUCGGCUAACUCCGUGCCAGCAGCCGCGGUAAUACGGAGGAUGCGAGCGUUAUCCGGAUUUAUUGGGUUUAAAGGGUGCGUAGGCGGAAUGCCAAGUCAGCGGUAAAAUCGCGGGGCUCAACCUCGCUCCGCCGUUGAAACUGGCGUGCUUGAGUGGGCGAGAAGUAUGCGGAAAGCGUGGUGUAGCGGUGAAAUGCAUAGAUAUCACGCAGAACUCCGAUUGCGAAGGCAGCAUACCGGCGCCCAACUGACGCUGAAGCACGAAAGCGUGGGUAUCGAACAGGAUUAGAUACCCCAGUUAGUC